AUUGAACGCUGGCGGCAGGCUUAACACAUGCAAGUCGAGCGGGGGAAGGUAGCUUGCUACCGGACCUAGCGGCGGACGGGUGAGUAAUGCUUAGGAAUCUGCCUAUUAGUGGGGGACAACAUCUCGAAAGGGAUGCUAAUACCGCAUACGUCCUACGGGAGAAAGCAGGGGAUCUUCGGACGUUGCGCUAAUAGAUGAGCCUAAGUCGGAUUAGCGAGUUGGUGGGGUAAAGGCCUACCAAGGCGACGACCUGUAGCGGGUCUGAGAGGAGGAGCCGACACACUGGGACUGGGACACGGCCCAGACACCUACGGGAGGCAGCGGUGGGGAAUAUUGGACAAUGGGGGGAACGCAGAUCCAGCCAUGCCGCGUGUGUGAAGGAGGCCUUAUGGUUGUAAAGCACUUUACGCGAGGAGGAGGCUACUCUUGUUAAUACCUAGGGAUAGUGGACGUUACUCGCAAAAGAAGGACCGGCUAACUCUGUGCCAGCCGCCGCCGUAA
rnacentral:rRNA from 1 species